rnacentral:rRNA from 1 species
UACGUAGGGGGCAAGCGUUAUCCGGAUUUACUGGGUGUAAAGGGAGCGUAGAUGGCGAAGCAAGUCUGGAGUGAAAACCCAGGGCUCAACCCUGGGAUUGCUUUGGAAACUGUUUUGCUGGAGUGCAGGAGAGGCAAGGGGAAUUCCUAGUGUAGCGGUGAAAUGCGUAGAUAUUAGGAGGAACACCAGUGGCGAAGGCGCCUUGCUGGACUGUAACUGACGCUGAGGCACGAAAGCGUGGGUAGCGAACAGGAUUAGAUACCCUGGUAGU